CUGCAGUCGAGGGGUAUAGUUCUUCGGAAUUAGAGACCGGCGCACGGGUGCGUAACGCGUAUGCAAUCUACCUUUCACAGAGGGAUAGCCCAGAGAAAUUUGGAUUAAUACCUCAUAGUAUGCAGAGUUGGCAUCAACACUGCAUUAAAGUCACAACGGUGAAAGAUGAGCAUGCGUCCCAUUAGCUAGUUGGUAAGGUAACGGCUUACCAAGGCUACGAUGGGUAGGGGUCCUGAGAGGGAGAUCCCCCACACUGGUACUGAGACACGGACCAGACUCCUACGGGAGGCAGCAGUGAGGAAUAUUGGACAAUGGGCGCAAGCCUGAUCCAGCCAUGCCGCGUGCAGGAUGACGGUCCUAUGGAUUGUAAACUGCUUUUGCACAGGAAGAAACAACUCUACGUGUAGAGUCUUGACGGUACUGUGAGAAUAAGGAUCGGCUAACUCCGUGCCAGCAGCCGCGGUAAUACGGAGGAUCCAAGCGUUAUCCGGAAUCAUUGGGUUUAAAGGGUCCGUAGGCGGUUUAGUAAGUCAGUGGUGAAAGCCCAUCGCUCAACGGUGGAACGGCCAUUGAUACUGCUAGACUUGAAUUAUUAGGAAGUAACUAGAAUAUGUAGUGUAGCGGUGAAAUGCUUAGAGAUUACAUGGAAUACCAAUUGCGAAGGCAGGUUACUACUAAUGGAUUGACGCUGAUGGACGAAAGCGUGGGUAGCGAACAGGAUUAGAUACCCUGGUAGUCCACGCCGUANACGAUGGAUACUAGCUGUUGGGAGCGAUCUCAGUGGCUAAGCGAAAGUGAUAAGUAUCCCACCUGGGGAGUACGUUCGCAAGAAUGAAACUCAAAGGAAUUGACGGGGGCCCGCACAAGCGGUGGAGCAUGUGGUUUAAUUCGAUGAUACGCGAGGAACCUUACCAAGCUUAAAUGUAGAUUGA
rnacentral:rRNA from 1 species